rnacentral:rRNA from 1 species
UGGGGAAUAUUGCACAAUGGGCGCAAGCCUGAUGCAGCCAUGCCGCGUGUAUGAAGAAGGCCUUCGGGUUGUAAAGUACUUUCAGCGGGGAGGAAGGUGUUGUGGUUAAUAACCACAGCAAUUGACGUUACCCGCAGAAGAAGCACCGGCUAACUCCGUGCCAGCAGCCGCGGAAAUACGGAGGGGGCAAGCGUUAAUCGGAAUUACUGGGCGUAAAGCGCACGCAGGCGGUCUGUCAAGUCGGAUGUGAAAUCCCCGGGCUCAACCUGGGAACUGCAUCCGAAACUGGCAGGCUUGAGUCUUGUAGAGGGGGGUAGAAUUCCAGGUGUAGCGGUGAAAUGCGUAGAGAUCUGGAGGAAUACCGGUGGCGAAGGCGGCCCCCUGGACAAAGACUGACGCUCAGGUGCGAAAGCGUGGGGAGCAAACA